UUAAAGAUAGUGAAGUAGUGGAAUGUGAUUCAUAAAAUUGGGUGUUUUGAGUAGCUUCUCCUCUUCCUCUGUUGUGAAGGAAGACUACAAUGCUCUCUCAUUUCAUCUCUAAAUCCUUACAUCUCCGGCUGUUCUCCCUACUUUCCCACAAAACCCAUUUCUUAAACCCUAAAACCAUUUCCCCUAAACCCUCCUUUCCAUAUUUCUUUCCCAACAACUCCUGUUUCUUCUCCACAGGUAACAACAAUGGCAAACAUUCGGACCCACAAAGUGAUGAGGGAAUAGAAAGCCAAGUUCUUGAUGAUGGGUCUUGGGCUGAAGAAGAAGGGUAUAAACCUUGGAGUUUUAAUGUGGAGGAGGAAGAAGAACGAGUGUUUGAUGUUGGAGAAGAGGUUAAGGUAGGAACUGAAAUGAAGGGUUUUCAAGUGGAGAAAAAGCUUCUUGAAUUGGAAGACAAACCUCUUACUCAGGUUCUUAAAGGUUCUUGUAUGGAUGAAUUGACAACCAAAAAGAGUACAAAGCCCUCAGUAAGUGUGUAUUCAGAAGAAGUUUUGGAAAUAACUGAGAUAAUCAAGGGUGGUGGGGAGGAUUUGAGGCAACAGUUGAUUUGGGUGGCUUCUAAACUAUCAUUUAAGUGUGUCGUUGAGAUUUUUGACCUUUUGAAUGAACAAAGAAUAUCUGGAUUGAAGUUCUUUAAUUGGCUUCGGGACUCGCAUCCUGAAUUUCACCGUAGUGCUUUUGUCAAUAGUCUGAUUAUAUGUAAUUGUGGAUGGUUAGGUGACUAUAAAACUAUGUUCUCUUUGUUGGAGGAGUUUAAGGCUGAAAAAACUUGUUUAACUGACAAAGCUUUUGGGUUCUUAACUGUAUUUGGAUUGAGUAAGGAUUCAUUGAUGAAUUUGACAAAGAAAGUGGUUGAUAUGUUAAAUGAGGUUGGAGGAUCCUGCUGUGGUUCUGGUGUUUAUGGAUUAAUCAAGAUGUUUUGUUGUUUGGACUUGUUCGAAAUGGCAACAUUUGUAAUAGAGAUCACUGAAAGAACAGCUUCCCGCUACAAUAUUUUGAUCUGUAAAAGGUGUCGGGCAGGCCAAAUUGAUAAAGCACGAGCUAUUAUCAAAGAGAUGUCUGAAUUUGGUUGUUCUCCUAAUAUCAAGUCAUAUAACUACCUGCUUGGCUCAUUGUGUAAGAAUGAUAAGCUGGAAGAUGUGCAUAUUGUGCUCGAAGAAAUGAGAAAUAAGGGUCUCAAUCCAGAUGCAAUUACUUUUGAAACUUUAGUAUAUCAUUCUUCUAAUCGUGGUCAGGUUGACUUUGCCUCUAAAUUUUUGAAUUUGAUGUUAAAUAUGAAUGUGGAACCACGUUCUACUACUCAUGCUGCGUUUCUUAAAGUUUUGCUUGAAGCAGGAGAGCGUGAGAAAGCAUAUAAGUAUGUGAUUGACAUGAGUGCCAAGUAUAACCACUGUGGAAAUACACUAUACAGCUUGCUUGUGAGGCUUAAUCAGAAGAAAGGAGACAUUAUGGCUGCUCAAAACAUUCUCAAUGAAAUGAUUGGCAAGGGUCUCAAGCCGGACUUUGGAAUUUUCAUCAAAAUUGUAAAGCAGCUCGAGAAGACUAGCAGGAAAAGCUUAGCUCUAGAUCUUAGGAUGAAAUACUCAGUUUUCUAUUGUAGUACAAAAGCUAACAAUUCUUUAUCCAAUUCUUUUGUUCCAUGCCAAGGUUGAAUGCAUCUCUUCAGCACACAUUUGUUGGGUAUAAUAUCAACAUUAAAGUUGGAUACAAACUUCAUAUUUUGAUAGGAAUUAGAGAUACCUUGUGUCUCCUCACUAUUACCUUCCUCAGUUAACUACUGGAUUUAGGCUUCAUGGGACGUCGUGAAAAUUUCCUGUUACUGCAACAUUCAUAUAUUAAAUUUGAAGUACAUGAGGAAGCAUUGGGAGGUACUAGCUCAAUGUAAUCAACCUGUCAGGCAGGGGAAGUACCAUAUCAACGUAGCCUACCAGGCCUUAAAGAGGUGAAGUCACCAAUGUCCCUUGGAGGGGUUUAGUGUGUCACAAUGCCGCUAAUCCUAAGAGUGUGUUUAUACUAUGGAUAGCACUAUGGGGAUGGUUGAUAAUUCAGGAUCUGCUGAUGAGAUGGGGUAUACCUGUGGAUGGUAUGUGUGUCCUCUGUAGAACUUGUAUGGAACGCCAGAAUUACUUAUAUUCUUUGAUUGUUGUUUUUCUAAGACCUGCAAAAUGCCUUGCAGUGUCUACAAUGGAAUAAAACAGUUAUGGACUGGGAAAUGGAAUGACAAUGGAUACACAGGAAUACAAGGAGCAAGAAAGACUCAGAAUGUCCUACUCAAGGCUUUCCUUUGCACACUGUUUCUGACCUUUGGUUUGAAAGGAAUGCUCGACUCUAUCAGAAAAGAGCCAACAGAAUGGAGAACUUGCUGCAUGAGCUUAAAGCUACUGUCCAUAUUAGAAUCUGACAAAAUAGGAGACUUUUUAUCUUCCAAUUCGAUGAGUGAGAAGUCUAUUCUUCGCCAAUUCUUUGAAACUAGUUAGGAAAAUAAUGUAAGUUAUUUUCACUUUUGCAUCUUUACAUUGCAUCAUUAAUGUAAAUCUUGGGUAUAUGAUUAUAAUAUUCCUUGAUGCUCAAAUGAGAUCCUUUGGGGGAUUUUUUUUUAAUUAUUAUUAAAGGUCUCAUUUGAUCAUUGAUAUGCAAAAAAUUAUGAUUUGAGUUUGGCAUCCCAUACUUGGUACAUGAUUAUUGAGAUGAGAUUAACAAUCUAUUCCUAUGCAAAAGGUAACAACAGGUGAAGAGAUCAAGGAGGAUCAUAUAUGAUGUUGUCAAGUUUUGCCGGUUAAAUCCUAAAUGUUGGUAAGCUCCAUUUGUCCAUAUGGACCAGGCCCAUUAUGUUAAUGGGAAGUUCAGAGAGAAGAUUGAAGGUCUUGGCUCCUACAACUUUAUGACUUAGCGUUGCUAGACCGUCCGCUGGUCUAUUAGCUUCUCUGAAAUAAUGGUUAAUAUUGAAGUCAUGAUCUUCAAUCAUCUUCUGAAUCUCUUUUAUUUAGUUGUAGAUUUUCCGAGAUUUCCACUAUUUUUUGGAACACUUGGCUAAUAGCAGGAAUCGAUUUCAUCUAUAGCGAUAUCAAAACCUUUUGUCAGCACACCAUUUCAGUCCAAUAUGUUGCUAGUUCCCUUUCCUAGGGAUAUAGUGUAGGCAAAGAUGAAGUUCUCCUCUUGAUCUCUGAUGAUUCCCCCUCCUCCACACUGCUCCUCUAUCCAUCCAGCUACCAUCACUAUUGAGUUUGACUCUAAAAGGAGGAGGUUUGAUCCAUGCUACUGGAAUACUUGUAUUGUAUUGGACAACUGUAUCACAAGCUUGACAAAUACUGCUUCAUGUGUCUCUAAUUUUGAUUCUGUUAAAUAACCUGUCCUUUGAGGGAUUUGAUUUGGCUUGCAACAAAGUAAUAACUUACAUGGAUGGAUUGAAAAUUCCAUGAUUUGUUAAUUAUACGUUUUGACUUUUCAUUAUUUUUGUCUUAGUUGAAUCAAUUUUAUUA